rnacentral:rRNA from 1 species
UUAGAGUUUGAUCAUGGCUCAGAACGUACGCUGGCGGCACGCCUAACACAUGCAAGUCGAACGAAGUAGCAAUACUUAGUGGCAGACGGGUGAGUAACAUGUAGGUAUCUGCCCUUUGGCCUGGAAUAACACGAGGAAACUUGUGCUAAUACCGGAUAAGUCUUUACGGAGAAAGCUUUAUGCACCAUUGGAUGAGCCUGCACUUGAUUAGUUUGUUGGUGGGGUAAUGGCCUACCAAGACCGUGAUCAAUAGCUGAUUUGAGAGGAUGAUCAGCCACAUUGGGACUGAGACACGGCCCAAACUCCUACGGGAGGCAGCAGUGGGGAAUCUUGCACAAUGGAGGAAACUCUGAUGCAGCGAUGCCGCGUGAGUGAAGAAGGCCUUUGGGUUGUAAAGCUCUUUCGUCGGGGAAGAAAAUGACUGUACCCGAAUAAGAAGGUCCGGCUAACUUCGUGCCAGCAGCCGCGGUAAUACGAAGGGACCUAGCGUAGUUCGGAAUUACUGGGCUUAAAGAGUUCGUAGGUGGUUGAAAAAGUUGGUGGUGAAAUCCCAGAGCUUAACUCUGGAACUGCCAUCAAAACUUUUCAGCUAGAGUAUGAUAGAGGAAAGCAGGAUUUCUAGUGUAGAGGUGAAAUUCGUAGAUAUUAGAAAGAAUACCAAUUGCGAAGGCAGCUUUCUGGAUCAUUACUGACGCUGAGGAACGAAAGCAUGGGUAGCGAAGAGGAUUAGAUACCCUCGUAGUCCAUGCCGUAAACGAUGUGUGUUAGACGUUGGAAAUUUAUUUUCAGUGUCGCAGCGAAAGCGAUAAACACACCGCCUGGGGAGUACGACCGCAAGGUUAAAACUCAAAUGAAUUGACGGGGACCCGCACAAGUAGUGGAGCAUGUGGUUUAAUUCGAAGAUACGCGCAGAACCUUACCAACACUUGACAUGUUCGUCGCGACUUUAAGAGAUUAAAGUUUUUGGUUCGGCCGGACGAAACACAGGUGCUGCAUGGCUGUCGUCAGCUCGUGUCGUGAGAUGUUGGGUUAAGUCCCGCAACGAGCGCAACCCUCACUUUUAGUUGCCAUCAUUAAGUUGGGCACUCUGAAAGAACUGCCAGUGAUAAGCUGGAGGAAGGUGGGGAUGACGUCAAGUCCUCAUGGCCCUUACGUGUUGGGCUACACACGUGCUACAAUGGUAUCUACAACAGGAAGCAAAACCGCGAGGUUAAGCAAAUCCUUAAAAGAUACCUCAGUUCGGAUUGCACUCUGCAACUCGAGUGCAUGAAGCUGGAAUUACUAGUAAUCGUGGAUCAGCGUGCCACGGUGAAUGCGUUCCC